UGGGGAAUUUUGGACAAUGGGCGAAGCUGAUCCAGCAAUGCCGCGUGUGUGAAGAAGGCCUUCGGGUUGUAAAGCACUUUUGUCCGGAAAGAAAUCCUUGGCUCUAAUACAGUCGGGGGGAUGACGGUACCGGAAGAAUAAGCACCGGCUAACUACGUGCCAGCAGCCGCGGUAAUACGUAGGGUGCAAGCGUUAAUCGGAAUUACUGGGCGUAAAGCGUGCGCAGGCGGUUUGCUAAGACCGAUGUGAAAUCCCCGGGCUCAACCUGGGAACUGCAUUGGUGACUGGGCAGGCUAGAGUAUGGCAGAGGGGGGUAGAAUUCCACGUGUAGCAGUGAAAUGCGUAGAGAUGUGGAGGAAUACCGAUGGCGAAGGCAGCCCCCUGGGCCAAUACUGACGCUCAUGCACGAAAGCGUGGGGAGCAAACAGGAUUAGAUACCCUGGUAGUCCACGCCCUAAACGAUGUCAACUAGUUGUUGGGGAUUCAUUUCCUUAGUAACGUAGCUAACGCGUG
rnacentral:rRNA from 1 species